rnacentral:misc_RNA from 1 species
UCCCCGUUACCGAGGCAGUCUUGUUAGAAAAAUUCAACUAACAACGAGGGUUGCGCUCGUUAAAGGACUUAACCUGACAUCUCACGAUACGAGCUGACGACGGCCAUGCAUCACCUGUCACCAGUCCAACUAAAUGACCAUCUAAUUUCUUAGACGUAUGACUGGGAUGUCAAGCCUUGGUAAGGUUCUUCGCGUAGCCUCGAAUUAAACCACACGCUCCACCGCUUGUGCGGGUCCCCGUCAAUUCCUUUGAGUUUUAGCCUUGCGGCCGUACUCCCCAGGCGGGAUGCUUAACGCGUUAGCUUCGCUACUGAAGGGGUCGAUACCCCCGGCAGCUAGCAUCCAUCGUUUACGGCGUGGACUAC